rnacentral:rRNA from 1 species
CUUCGGGUCAUGUGGGAAAAGAUGGCCUCUGCUUGCAAGCUAUCGCAACGAGAUGAGCCCGCGUCCCAUUAGCUAGUUGGUGAGGUAACGGCUCACCAAGGCGACGAUGGGUAGCUGGUCUGAGAGGACGAUCAGCCACACUGGAACUGAGACACGGUCCAGACUCCUACGGGAGGCAGCAGUCGGGAAUAUUGGGCAAUGGGCGCAAGCCUGACCCAGCGACGCCGCGUGAGGGAUGAAGGCCUUCGGGUCGUAAACCUCUGUCGGGAGGGAAGAAUGGCGGUGAAGCGAAUAGUUUCGCUGUCUGACGGUACCUCCAAAGGAAGCGCCGGCUAACUCCGUGCCAGCAGCCGCGGUAAUACGGAGGGCGCAAGCGUUGUUCGGAAUCACUGGGCGUAAAGCGCGUGUAGGCGGCCGGGCAAGUCGGAUGUGAAAUCCCGAGGCUCAACCUCGGAACUGCAUUCGAAACUGCUCGGCUCGAGUCCCGGAGAGGAUGGCAGAAUUCCCGGUGUAGGGGUGAAAUCCGUAGAUAUCGGGAGGAAUACCAGUGGCGAAGGCGGCCAUCUGGACGGUGACUGACGCUGAGACGCGAAAGCGUGGGGAGCAAACAGGAUUAGAUACCCUGGUAGUCCACGCCGUAAACGGUGAGUGCUAGACGUCGCGGGUAUUGACCCCCGCGGUGUCGAAGCUAACGCGUUAAGCACUCCGCCUGGGGAGUACGGCCGCAAGGCUAAAACUCAAAGGAAUUGACGGGGGCCCGCACAAGCAGCGGAGCGUGUGGUUUAAUUCGAUUUUACACGAAGAACCUUACCUGGGUUUGACAUGCAAGUAGUAGGGAACUGAAAGGGGACCGACCCUUCGGGGAGCUUGCACAGGUGCUGCAUGGCUGUCGUCAGCUCGUGUCGUGAGAUGUCCGGUUAAGUCCGGUAACGAGCGCAACCCUUGCUGUAUGUUACGAGUGUCAUACGGGACUGCCGGUAUAAAGCCGGAGGAAGGUGGGGAUGACGUCAAGUCAGCAUGGCCUUUAUGCCCAGGGCUACACACACGCUACAAUGGUCAGGACAAUAGGUAGCAAAGCCGCGAGGCGGAGCCAAUCCUGAAACUUGGCCACAGUUCAGAUUGCAGGCUGCAACUCGCCUGCAUCAAGCCGGAGUUGCUAGUAACCGCGCGUCAGCUAUAGUGCGGUGAAUACGUUCCCGGGCCUUGUACACACCGCCCGUCACGUCAUGGGAGCUGGCAACACCUGAAGCCGGUAUCCUAACCGUAAGGAGGGAGCCGUCGAAGGUGGGGCUGGUGACUGGGACGAAGUCGUAACAAGGUA